rnacentral:rRNA from 1 species
AGAGUUUGAUCCUGGCUCAGGACGAACGCUGGCGGCGUGCUUAACACAUGCAAGUCGAACGGAAAGGCCCUUCGGGGUACUCGAGUGGCGAACGGGUGAGUAACACGUGGGUGAUCUGCCCUGCACUUUGGGAUAAGCCUGGGAAACUGGGUCUAAUACCGAAUAUGACCAUGCGCCUCCUGGUGUGUGGUGGAAAGCUUUUGCGGUGUGGGACGGGCCCGCGGCCUAUCAGCUUGUUGGUGGGGUAAUGGCCUACCAAGGCGACGACGGGUAGCCGGCCUGAGAGGGUGACCGGCCACACUGGGACUGAGAUACGGCCCAGACUCCUACGGGAGGCAGCAGUGGGGAAUAUUGCACAAUGGGCGCAAGCCUGAUGCAGCGACGCCGCGUGAGGGAUGACGGCCUUCGGGUUGUAAACCUCUUUCAGCACAGACGAAGCGCAAGUGACGGUAUGUGCAGAAGAAGGACCGGCCAACUACGUGCCAGCAGCCGCGGUAAUACGUAGGGUCCGAGCGUUGUCCGGAAUUACUGGGCGUAAAGAGCUCGUAGGUGGUUUGUCGCGUUGUUCGUGAAAACUCACAGCUUAACUGUGGGCGUGCGGGCGAUACGGGCAGACUUGAGUACUGCAGGGGAGACUGGAAUUCCUGGUGUAGCGGUGGAAUGCGCAGAUAUCAGGAGGAACACCGGUGGCGAAGGCGGGUCUCUGGGCAGUAACUGACGCUGAGGAGCGAAAGCGUGGGGAGCGAACAGGAUUAGAUACCCCGGUAGUCC